rnacentral:ncRNA from 1 species
AGUCCUGUGGUGGGGCUGGGGAAUGCGGCAUAUGGAAGACACCCACACCCCCCACACACACCCCCGCCACACCCCGUGUUACCUGUAGGGGGCCUAAGUCUCUGUGAUCGAGGCCCAGCCUGUGGAUGGUGCGAGGCCGGCAGUGGCCCCUGGCAUGCUAGGCCCGAGUCCUCCUGGAGCCGGUCUGCUUGGGAAUGUAGCCCAAAGCAGGUGGCAAACUCCAUCUAAGGCUAAAUAUCGGCAAGAGACUGAUAGUUAACAAGCACCAUAAGG